AAAACAUGAAUGCUGCAUGUAAGCAGAAAGGCAGGGUGGCAUCUUCAAUGAGGAGAUGUAUUUUCCACUGUGAGAGAGGUAAAAUGCAGGAAACCAGAUGUGAGAGAAAGCACGGGAACCCUUCAGCUGGCACCUGCCUCCCUAUUGUCUUCUGGCUCUGCUCAUCUUGCUAGUUAUCUGUCCACAAAGGCGUCAGCUUUGAUCUCAAUCUGCCUG
rnacentral:lncRNA from 1 species